rnacentral:lncRNA from 1 species
GAGAGUAGUGACCAUCUGUUACAUUUUGAUUGUUCUGUCUUCUUUCAAAGUAGGGGAAAAUGAAUUUUCCCCUGUGUGGCAUUCAGUGUAUUGUUGUAGGUUCUAUUCGAACAGAAUAUUUUAUUUUCUACUUAGGUUUCCCUUUCAAAUGUUUCAGGUGUACGAAGCCAUCGACAGCAGAGAUGGAGCAUCUUGUGCAGAGUUGGUGUCUUUUAAACAUCCUCAUGUUGCAAACCCACGACUUCAAAUGGCCUCUCCAGAGGAGAAGUGUCAACAAGUCUUGGAACCCCCUUAUGAUGAAAUGUUUGCAGCUCAUUUAAGGUGCACUUAUGCAGUGGGGAAUCAUGACUUCAUAGAGGCAUACAAGUGCCAGACCGUGAUAGUCCAAUCAUUCUUGCGAGCAUUCCAGGCCC